ensembl:miRNA gga-mir-6605 gga-mir-6605
UACAUUACUGAUAUUCUUUUCUGGGACUGCAGAGCUUCUUGAACAAGAUAGCAUAUGUCAGCUUGUUGAGAAUUUCUGCAUUCCAGUUUAGCCUUUUGUGCCCAUAUUUU